GACGAACGCUGGCGGCGUGCUUAACACAUGCAAGUCGAACGGAAAGGCCCUGCUUUUGUGGGGUGCUCGAGUGGCGAACGGGUGAGUAACACGUGAGUAACCUGCCCUUGACUUUGGGAUAACUUCAGGAAACUGGGGCUAAUACCGGAUAGGAGCUCCUGCUGCACGGUGGGGGUUGGAAAGUUUCGGCGGUUGGGGAUGGACUCGCGGCUUAUCAGCUUGUUGGUGGGGUAGUGGCUUACCAAGGCUUUGACGGGUAGCCGGCCUGAGAGGGUGACCGGCCACAUUGGGACUGAGAUACGGCCCAGACUCCUACGGGAGGCAGAAGUGGGGAAUAUUGCACAAUGGGCGGAAGCCUGAUGCAGCAACGCCGCGUGCGGGAUGACGGCCUUCGGGUUGUAAACCGCUUUCGCCUGUGACGAAGCGUGAGUGACGGUAAUGGGUAAAGAAGCACCGGCUAACUACGUG
rnacentral:rRNA from 1 species